UACAGAGGGUGCGAGCGUUGUCCGGAAUUAUUGGGCGUAAAGAGCUCGUAGGCGGUUUGUCGCGUCGUCUGUGAAAACUCGAGGCUCAACCUCGAGCUUGCAGGCGAUACGGGCAGACUUGAGUACUGCAGGGGAGACUGGAAUUCCUGGUGUAGCGGUGAAAUGCGCAGAUAUCAGGAGGAACACCGGUGGCGAAGGCGGGUCUCUGGGCAGUAACUGACGCUGAGGAGCGAAAGCGUGGGUAGCGAACAGG
rnacentral:rRNA from 1 species